AGUGAACGCUGGCGGUAGGCCUAACACAUGCAAGUCGAACGGCAGCACAGUAAGAGCUUGCUCUUACGGGUGGCGAGUGGCGGACGGGUGAGGAAUACAUCGGAAUCUACUUUUUCGUGGGGGAUAACGUAGGGAAACUUACGCUAAUACCGCAUACGACCUACGGGUGAAAGAAGGGGAUCUUCGGGCCUUGCGCGAUUGAAUGAGCCGAUGUCGGAUUAGCUAGUUGGCGGGGUAAAGGCCCACCAAGGCGACGAUCCGUAGCUGGUCUGAGAGGAUGAUCGGCCACACUGGAACUGAGACACGGUCCAGACUCCUACGGGAGGCAGCAGUGGGGAAUCUUAGACAAUAGGCGCAAACCUGAUCCAGCCAUACCGCGUAGGUGAAUAAGGCCUUCGGGUUGUAAAGCCCUUUUGUUGGGAAAGAAAAGCAGCAGGUUAAUACCCCGCUGUUCUGACGGUACCCAAAGAAUAAGCACCGGCUAACUUCGUG
rnacentral:rRNA from 1 species